rnacentral:rRNA from 1 species
GAUGAACGCUGGCGGCGUGCCUAAUACAUGCAAGUCGAGCGAACGGACGAGAAGCUUGCUUCUCUGAUGUUAGCGGCGGACGGGUGAGUAACACGUGGAUAACCUACCUAUAAGACUGGGAUAACUUCGGGAAACCGGAGCUAAUACCGGAUAAUAUUUUGAACCGCAUGGUUCAAAAGUGAAAGACGGUCUUGCUGUCACUUAUAGAUGGAUCUCAGCUGCAUUAGCUAGUUGGUAAGGUAACGGCUUACCAAGGCAACGAUGCAUAGCCGACCUGAGAGAGGGAUCGGCCACACUGGAACGUAGCCAGGGUCAAGACUCCUACGGUAGGCAGCAGUAGGGAAUGGUCCGCAAUGGGCGAAAGCCUGACGGAGCAGGGCCGCGUGAGUGAUGAAGGUCUUCGGAUCGUAAAACUCUGUUAUUAGGGAAGAACAGAUGUGUAAGUAGCUGUGCACAGCUUGACGGUACCUGAUCAGAAAGCCACGGCUAACUACGUG